UGGCUCAGUGGUUAAGAGCACUGACGGCUCUUCCAGAGGACCUGGGUUCAAUUCCCAG
rnacentral:tRNA from 1 species